rnacentral:snRNA from 1 species
AUUCCUACAUAGCUGGUGGGACC